rnacentral:rRNA from 1 species
GAUGAACGCUGGCGGCGUGCUUAACACAUGCAAGUCGAACGGAAAGGCUCCUGCUUGCCGGGGUACUCGAGUGGCGAACGGGUGAGUAACACGUGGGUGAUCUGCCCUGCACUUCGGGAUAAGCCUGGGAAACUGGGUCUAAUACCGGAUAGGACCACAUUUUGGAUGGUGUGGUGGAAAGUGUUUCGGUGUGGGAUGAGCUCGCGGCCUAUCAGCUUGUUGGUGGGGUAAUGGCCUACCAAGGCGUCGACGGGUAGCCGGCCUGAGAGGGGGUACGGCCACAUUGGGACUAUGGUACGGCGCGGGCGCGUACGGGAGGCAGCAGUGGGGAGUGGUGCGGAGUGGGCGCGAGUGUGUGGCAGCGGCGCCGCGUGGGGGAAGACCGCCUUCGGGUUGUAAACGACUUUCGAUCGGGACGCAGCGCGAGUGACGGUACCUGAAGAGAAAGCACCGGCUAACUACGUG